CAUAUUAUUUGCUGAGAUACUUGACAUGGCACAUACUUUGGUUUUCAUUGCUUUCAAGCCUAAUUUCUAUAUACGAAUGUAUCAUUAUUUUCUAGAAAAGUAUACGGGUUUUACAGUGAGGGGUUAUUAUUUUUGGAAAGAGAAAUGGUUUCAAAAAGCUUUGUUUUUUGCCCACUCAUGUUUUCUUUAUUUCGCCCCUCCAGGUUUUAGCUACUGAAAGUUCAUAUCGACAAGGAUUCUUGGCGAAACUUAGCAUAGGUGGCUACCUCUAAGGGUAUGAUCCUUACCCACACUACUGUACUUUACUUAUGCUCUGAUGUCACGUGUGAAAUAAGUUCAUUCCUGCUCACAAUGCACUCUUUUCUUUAGACAUUAUUAGGUUUAAAUUUAUUUACAUUUUUCAAUAUCACUAUACUUUAUGGCUUCGUCACUUUCCAAGUGUCUGACAACACAGCUCGAUUCGAAGUCCUACUGGACAUUCCGGGUCGGGAUAUGUCACGCAUGAUAAAAAAAAAAAAAAAAAACGUAAUUAUUUAUAAUGAGUUGUAGAAAGUUUUCUUAAGUAGGAAAGAUAAUACGCUAUUAGGUUUAUUGAGAUUCCUUAGAGUCAAAAUCACUAUAACUAAAUAGCUUUGGUUUCAAAUCUUGUAGGUACCAUUCAUCUAAUGCAUGCUUGGGUAUCUCUCUCUUAGUUCAUCUACCUCAAACUUCAUCGGCUCAUUAACGUUAAAAUGCUUUAAGUAUGACUCAAAUAAACAUGCUACAGAUAUAUUUAUGGAGUUAAAUUUUAUUUAAAAUAACAUAUCUUGAAACCAUGAAUGCAUUAUAAAUUUAAAAAUAUAAUGUAUCGUGUUUCGAUGGAAUAAGAAAAGAAAAGAAGAACAUGGUCGUAAGGGAACUUGAGGGAACUAUGUUUUAAUUGGACCCCCUUAAAGUGAGGAUUUAGAUCUAUGCGUUUAAUAAAAGGAAAGGUUGUUAAAAAUCAAUCAAAGUGCUUAGUUUAUGUUUUUUUUUUCCGGUAAUUAAAGGUUGUUAAAGUCAGGUAGUUAUAAAAUGGAUUACUUUCAUUUUUGCUAAAGUCGAUUGCUAGAUCCAAUGCUCCUAAAAAGGACUUUGUCAUAUAGUGCUUAUUCACAAGGUGAAACAAUAGUGGAAUACCCUUCUUCUAGAAUUGUUUUCCAUGUAAAAAUAAUAUAGACAAAAAAAUAGUGUGCGUAAAUCAUUUCUAACCAGAAUUAUCACAUGAUUAAUACCUAAGGAGCUAUCUAGGCUGGUUCUGAGAAUUUGAGGGCUGUAGUGAGCCUUCAAAGUAGAGCCCUAAAGUCAUCUAGCUCCCAAUCCUUUGUACAUUGAUAUGUAUAAAACAAUACUGCCGAAUUUCACACUGCCAACACCAAGAAAGAUUACACUCUAUUUCCACCACGCCAACAACUCAUUUGCUUAAUUUGGGUUACUUUGAUUAAUUUAUAAUAUCUAUACCAUUUUAAAAAACAUUCCUCCCACCAAGAUCGGGGGCCCUAGUUGUCGCUUAUUCAGCUACUUUCAGGGCCGGCCUUGAAGGCGAUUCAUAAAGAAGUAGCUAUUAUGAUAUAUAUUAGUUUUACAAUAAUUGAUCACCUUACCAAUCGUUGUGAGGCGAUCGAAUAAAAGAGAAGCACUCAUUAUGUAUAGAUGAGUUUUCUUUUCUGACAAUAACUGAUCACAUAAGUAACAUACGAGAGGCAAAUAAGAGAAAAAUUAACUAUGCAUGUAUGUUGUGUGCUAUAGUUUUUCACUCUCCAACAAAGUAACUUAUAAUCUUUGCUUGAGUAACACACCUAACCAAUAUCUAACCAUGUGUGGCGUUCAUCCAUUUGUGGUUAAAACUUUAUGGUGAAAGUAACAGAGCAUGGAGGAGUGGAAUGAUGUAAACUAGAGGGUACUACGACAUUCAUGUGUACCAAACAAGCAAAGGUUCAAAGGAGAGAGAGAGAGAGAGAGAGAGAGAGAGAGAGAGAGAGAGAGGUGUCACACUUCAAACUGUAACAAGCAAAGGUUCAAAGGAGGGAGGGAGGGAGAGAGAGAGAGAGAGAGAGAGAGAGAGAGAGAGAGAGAGAGAGAGGUGUCACACUUCAAACUGUGAGUUUGGAUGGGGAACCUCUCCUAAUCAUUUUUAUGGAAAUCUUUACAUUUUAGUCGUUAAUCGUAUAUCGUGUGGUCAAUGUUCAUUAGUUACUAUUUGUGUU
rnacentral:lncRNA from 1 species